rnacentral:rRNA from 1 species
UAGGGAAUCUUCGGCAAUGGACGGAAGUCUGACCGAGCAACGCCGCGUGAGUGAAGAAGGUUUUCGGAUCGUAAAUCUCUGUUGUUAGAGAAGAACGUUGGUAGGAGUGGAAAAUCUACCAAGUGACGGUAACUAACCAGAAAGGGACGGCUAACUACGUGCCAGCAGCCGCGGUAAUACGUAGGUCCCGAGCGUUGUCCGGAUUUAUUGGGCGUAAAGCGAGCGCAGGCGGUUCUUUAAGUCUGAAGUUAAAGGCAGUGGCUUAACCAUUGUACGCUUUGGAAACUGGAGGAAUUGAGUGCAGAAGGGGAGAGUGGAAUUCCAUGUGUAGCGGUGAAAUGCGUAGAUAUAUGGAGGAACACCGGUGGCGAAAGCGGCUCUCUGGUAUGUAACUGACGAUGAGGCUCGAAAGCGUGGGGAGCAAACAGG